GGAGGGGAAGCCAAACCACUGGACUGGUCCGAGGGCCCGGUGCUCCCUCUUCCUGGGGGAGCCAGGUCACUGGGCCAUUUAGAUAAGGGGGGAAGGGGCAGUGGCCAUUUUUCCACGUGAUCCCUCCCAGGAGAAAGAACAUCCAUUUUUGCAUGUUAACGAACAUGUUUCUGGGCAUGAGGCUACUAAAGAGUGCCACCUUGUGGUUUGGUCUUGCAUCAGCCUUAUUAAGGCCUUUUAAUUCCCCACCUCCAAUUAUUCUGGUAUCUUUCAGAAGGCUCUAUCGUGUUCUAGAGACUGAAGUAAUUAGCUUAAUGACAUCUAAAACCAGGACUACCUGGAGAACCUCACAGGCAAGAUCCACCAGGAAUCCCUCUUGAACAUGGAAUCUAGACUGAAUCUUCUCCAUCAUAGUGCUUAUACCUUUGAUGAUAAGCUCUCGAGGGCAAGAACUGCACCUUCUUCUCCUGCAUAGUCUACUAUGCCUAGCAUAGGAAAUGGACACCAGAUUUACAUCCAGGGCUCCCAUCCUGUCCAAGUCCUGCCAAGCACAUUGGGGUCUGUAGCCUGAUCCAUAAGACACUUGACUUGAGUC